rnacentral:lncRNA from 1 species
GAGGUGUAGAGGGAUGGGGAAAUCUUUUUUAUCAGUAUGCUGAGUUUGAUAUGCCUACAAAAUUAUUAUGGUAGUUUGAGGUCCCUGUGAAACAUCCAAAUGGUAAUGUCCCAUGUUUGAAGCUUAGGAGAGAAAGGUGUGACGGAUUAGCACAAUGGGAGUGGCUACAAAAUCAUGCUAAGAAGGAGAAAAGAAGGAAAGGAAAGAAUUCAAAAAGCAAAAGCAUUUAACAUGUAGGCAGAGAGUAAGAAAUGGGCUGAGAAACAACAGCCAGAAAGAUAGACAAUUAGGUGACUGUUGCUACUCAGAAAUCUACCUGCAGCUGUGUUUUCCUUCUCAUUUCAAACCACUUGCUAGACAUUCUCUAAUUGGAUAUUGCUCUAAUAUCUCAAAUUCAGUUUUACACACACACAAAAAAGUUUUUACUUCUGACUUCCAUGUUUGUAUCAAUGUGAUGAAAGAAUGCUUUCUUCACAGAUAAAUCUGAAGGCCCUGACUCUUCACCAACAGCGCCUAUGCUUUGAGUUACUCUGUCCAGAUAAUAUUAAGAGAUGAUUCUAAUAACCUAAUCACCUGAAGCAUAUUUUCACCUGCGUGUAUGUGUGAGGCAAAGUAUUCUGGGAAACAUAACUCAGAUAAGCUGCAAACCUGUUGGAAGCAGUGAAGGGGCCGUGGGGACGAGGUGAGAAGCCUUUACAGAGACAGUCACCUGAAAUCCUGCUCCAGACCCCCGGCUCCCCGCGUCCCGUCUCUCCUCUCCGCGCCUCCUGCGCUCUGGCUCCGGCGCGUAGUCACCUAGCGCGAGACCUCCCGGCGGCCCGGGGGCCGGGCCGGCUGAACUCCGCAAGGCCUGGCUGCAG